UGAGGAAUAUUGGGCAAUGCCCGCAAGGGUGACCCAGCAACGCCGCGUGGAGGAUGAAUGCCGUAAGGUUGUAAACUCCUGUUAGAGGGGACGAACAGUUCCGAUCGCAUCGGAAUUUGACGGUACCCUCAGAGAAAGCCCCGGCUAACUACGUGCCAGCAGCCGCGGUAAUACGUAGGGGGCAAGCGUUGUCCGGAUUUACUGGGUGUAAAGGGCGCGCAGGCGGAAUUAUAAGUCAGAGGUGAAAUCCUGCAGCUUAACUGCAGAACUGCCUUUGAUACUGUAAUUCUUGAGUGCGGAAGAGAGAGACGGAAUUCCAGGUGUAGUGGUGAAAUACGUAGAUAUCUGGAAGAACACCAGUUGCGAAGGCGGUCUCUUGGUCCGUAACUGACGCUCAGGCGCGAAAGCGUGGGUAGCAAACAGG
rnacentral:rRNA from 1 species